GAUGAACGCUAGCGGCAGGCUUAAUACAUGCAAGUCGUGGGGCAGCAUGAGUAGCAAUACUUGAUGGCGACCGGCAAACGGGUGCGGAACACGUACACAACCUUCCUUCAGGCGGGGAAUAGCCCAGAGAAAUUUGGAUUAGUACCCCAUAAUAUAUAGAAUAGGCAUCUAUUUUAUAUUAAAGCUUCGGCACUUGAAGAUGGGUGUGCGGCUGAUUAGGUAGUUGGCGGGGUAAUGGCCCACCAAGCCUACGAUCAGUAGCUGAUGUGAGAGCAUGAUCAGCCACACGGGCACUGAGACACGGGCCCGACUCCUACGGGAGGCAGCAGUAAGGAAUAUUGGACAAUGGACGAAAGUCUGAUCCAGCCAUGCCGCGUGAAGGAUGAAUGUCCUCUGGAUUGUAAACUUCUUUUAUAUGGGACGAAAAAAGGGAAUUCUUUCUCACUUGACGGUACCAUAUGAAUAAGCACCGGCUAACUCCGUG
rnacentral:rRNA from 1 species